GUGCUCACUUUAACAGUCCAUAUACUAUAACUGGAACAAUACAGAGAAGAUUAGCAUGACCCUGUGCAAAGAUGACACACAAAUUCAUGAAGUGUUCCAUAUUUUU